AUGUAGUUGCCGGUAUUAAUAUGUCUGAAAUAAUAAUUGACGAAGCUGGUAUCAUAUCUUUACUCGAAAAGUUGAAAACUUCGUCUGCAUCCGAUCAUAAUGGCUUCAAUAACAAAAUACUGAAAAAUAUUUUCUCAGGUAUCUAUCGCUUUUUGGCAGCAAUCUUUUCUCUAUCGUUAUCAUCAGGCACCAUUCCUCACGACUGGCGAAUAGCAAAAGUAGUGACACUAUUUAAAUCUGGUGAUCGCUCAUCCCCGCUUAAUUACAGACCCAUAUCUUUAACUAGUACCAUAUGUAAACUUUUGGAACACAUUAUACACUCCCAGGUAAUCUCCUAUUUAGAGGAACACAAUAUCAUGUUUAAAUACCAGCAUGGUUUUCGCAAGGGCUAUUCAUGCGAAACUCAACUCGCGGGAUUUACCCAUGACUUGCACUCAUCAUUGGACGCCGGCAUUCAAACUGACGCUAUAUUCCUUGAUUUUUCAAAAGCAUUUGAUCGUGUCCCUCACCAUCGGCUCUUACUAAAACUUAGGCAGCUUAAUAUUCACCCACUUGUUCUCGCCUGGCUACAAGCUUUUCUUUCCAGUAGAAAACAAUUCACGUCUGUCAAUAACUUUAACUCUCCUUUUGUUGAAGUCUCAUCUGGAGUUCCCCAAGGAAGUGUGAUUGGUCCCUUGCUUUUCCUUAUUUAUAUUAACGACUUACCCUCCUCAGUCAAUUCUAAAGUUAGGCUUUUCGCUGACGAUUGUGUCAUUUACCGUACCAUUUCAUCUGAAACUGAUCGACAAUCUCUACAAUCUGAUCUUGUCUCUUUAACUUCGUGGUGCACAGCAUG